UCUCUAUCUGUAUCUGUAUGGCUGCUGUGCCAUACAGAUACAGAUAGAGAAAAGAGAAAGACAGUAUAUAUGUGACUGUCUUGCUCC